AGUGAACGCUGGCGGUAGGCCUAACACAUGCAAGUCGAACGGCAGCACAGGAGAGCUUGCUCUCUAGGUGGCGAGUGGCGGACGGGUGAGGAAUACAUCGGAAUCUGCCCAGUCGUGGGGGAUAACGUAGGGAAACUUACGCUAAUACCGCAUACGACCUUCGGGUGAAAGAGGGGGAUCGCAAGACCUCUCGCGAUUAGAUGAGCCGAUGUCGGAUUAGCUAGUUAGCGGGGUAAUGGCCCACCAAGGCGACGAUCCGUAGCUGGUCUGAGAGGAUGAUCAGCCACACUGGAACUGAGACACGGUCCAGACUCCUACGGGAGGCAGCAGUGGGGAAUAUUGGACAAAGGGCGCAAGCCUGAUCCAGCCAUACCGCGUGGGUGAAGAAGGCCUUCGGGUUGUAAAGCCCUUUUGUUGGGAAAGAAAUCUUUCAGGCUAAUACCCUGGGAGGAUGACGGUACCCAAAGAAUAAGCACCGGCUAACUUCGUG
rnacentral:rRNA from 1 species